rnacentral:sRNA from 1 species
UUCGACUAAGGUUCGAUUCGAGCGCAGCGAGAAAGCGUUGCCGUAGGCAACGACCCGAAGGGCGAAGCGCGCAGCGCUGAGUAAUCCUUCCCCCGUCAUCC